rnacentral:lncRNA from 1 species
ACGGGGCGUGCACAGGAAUAAACAUUUGGCCGUUUCUGGAGGGGCCCUUUCUGUGCCCCCCGUGCCUGGACGAGUUGGCUCCCCACACUCCCGGCAGCCAGAGGAGCUGGAUCUCCCCCCGCGGCUCCAGGGCUUGAGGACCUGUCUCCCCCCUGGUGCUGGGGCAGUUCUGUGCCUGUGUUGAUUGCGGGGGGUCAUGCCCCUGCUCGACCCCCCUUGCGCACACCCCUGUGUGAAUAAACCACCUCCCUGCAUGACGUAAGUGACAUGGACACAAGCACUCGUGUGCCCAGCGCUGCCAGUGGAGAGCGUCUCCCCCCCACUCCCCUGCCGCGCAGAGACGGGUUAUCAGGCCAAGGGGAGAUCUCCCGCCCAUUGGCAUGAAGUGUCUUCACCAGACAUGCUGCAGCAGCGCUGGGCGUGUGGACAAGCCCCAUGCCCCAGGGGGGCCCUUGGGGGACCUCAGAGGACACAAGACUUUGUUGAUGGGCCCCCCGAACACACCCCCAUAAAGAGGAGAGGUGCAAGAGCUCGUCCCACCAGCUGGAACGUGGGAGGAAGGGCAUGAAAACCCCCAUCCAGGAGAAACCCCUCACUGGACACUGCCUGGAUGGGAAUGGGCAGGAAUGACUGGGCAUAAGCACCAGAUCCCCUGGCUGUGCCCGGCUCAGCCCCACGGCACACACAGCGCUUGUGUCUUACAGGAGUUUCUGUGACCUUUGGGCCCCUAGGGCUGUAACUCCCUGGUGUGUGUGUGACCUGCUGUAACCUUGUCAAGAACUGCCUGUGCUUGGUCGUAGGUAACAAAUCUUUACUGAGGUUAUUACAGGAUUGGCUACAAGCGUUGUCUGUGGAGUGAGAUGGAAGGUGCAGCUGACCUGGGGUAAGCGACUGGUCCUGUGGGACAGGGAGUGACCCGAAUAUCACCGAGAUUUGUGGAGGAAGGGAUGAUCGAUCGAUCGAUCACAAGGGCGGGCUGGCCGGGGUGCCCAGACAGAUCGGAGAGCCCAAGGAGACUGUCUGUGGCUCCGCGGUUACGUUGUUACAGGGCCUGCGGAGUUCACACUGUCCUGAGAUUGGUCCCCACACUCGUGAGCCACUCGACAGUGUGACAGGGUCGCCCCAGGGCCCUGCUGGGACUGAGGGGCAGGGACGGGUCCCCAGGCGGGGGCAGCGCGGGCUGGAGCCGGGCAGAGCGCGGGGAGCAGACGGGGACAGGAAGGGACCGGCCCCAGGUUCUGCAUUCUCCGGGCUGGGCGAGGGGCUGGGGGAGACGGACGGAAACUCCUGCCGGCCGGGGGAUCCGACGCCCAGGAUCUAACUCAGGAGACCUGCAGGGAGAGGGGAGAGAAAUCAGCCCCUGGCCGUGGGGCUAGCGGGACGGACGGGGGAUUUUCUCUGCCAGGCCCC